rnacentral:rRNA from 1 species
GUGGGGAAUAUUGGGCAAUGGGCGAAAGCCUGACCCAGCAACGCCGCGUGAAGGAAGAAGGCCCUCGGGUUGUAAACUUCUUUUAAGAGGGACGAAAGAAAUGACGGUACCUCUUGAAUAAGCCACGGCUAACUACGUGCCAGCAGCCGCGGUAAUACGUAGGUGGCGAGCGUUAUCCGGAUUUACUGGGUGUAAAGGGCGUGUAGGCGGGAGUGCAAGUCAGAUGUGAAAAUUAUGGGCUCAACCCAUAACCUGCAUUUGAAACUGUUCUUCUUGAGUGAUGGAGAGGCAGGCGGAAUUCCGUGUGUAGCGGUGAAAUGCGUAGAUAUACGGAGGAACACCAGUGGCGAAGGCGACCUGCUGGACAUUAACUGACGCUGAGGCGCGAAAGCGUGGGGAGCAAACAGGAUUAGAAACCCCUGUAGUCC